GAUGAACGCUGGCGGCGUGUCUAAUACAUGCAAGUCGAGCGAACGGACGAGAAGCUUGCUUCUCUGAUGUUAGCGGCGGACGGGUGAGUAACACGUGGAUAACCUACCUAUAAGACUGGGAUAACUUCGGGAAACCGGGGCUAAUACCGGAUAAUAUUUUGAACCGCAUGGUUCAAAAGUGAAAGACGGUCUUGCUGUCACUUAUAGAUGGAUCCGCGCUGCAUUAGCUAGUUGGUAAGGUAACGGCUUACCAAGGCAACGAUGCAUAGCCGACCUGAGAGGGUGAUCGGCCACACUGGAACUGAGACACGGUCCAGACUCCUACGGGAGGCAGCAGUAGGGAAUCUUCCGCAAUGGGCGAAAGCCUGACGGAGCAACGCCGCGUGAGUGAUGAAGGUCUUCGGAUCGUAAAACUCUGUUAUUAGGGAAGAACAUAUGUGUAAGUAACUGUGCACAUCUUGACGGUACCUAAUCAGAAAGCCACGGCUAACUACGUG
rnacentral:rRNA from 1 species